rnacentral:tRNA from 1 species
GUCCCCGUAGCUCAGUGGAUAGAGCAACCGCCUUCUAAGCGGUCGGUCGCAGGUUCGAAUCCUGCCGGGGACGCCA